rnacentral:lncRNA from 1 species
GUGAUUUUCCUGCCUCAGCCUCCCGAGUAGCUGGGAUUACAGCAAUCCUGAGAUGAGGAGGCUGAGGCCAAAGGAAAGACUAAGACCUGCCCAUGGACACAUGUUGGCAAAGACCAAGCAGGAACUCGAGCCAGUUUACCUGAAACCAAGGUCCAGGCAUUUGUGAAGGUAGAAGGCUGAAUAAAUGAAAUUGUAUAAUUA